CGCAAAGAGCGCUCCGAUAUCUUAUAAUGUGCUAAACUUCUGUUCUUUUGUUCAAGAAACCUGAUCAAUUUAUGCACUUCUUCUUGAGGGGUAUGUCAUUAUACUUUUUAACUAUUCCACUCAUCAACCCUUCAUCUAUUCAAUUCAUGCUUGAAAAAGCUCAAUUUGUAAAUAACGUUCAUUUUGUUGAAAAAAAAACUCAUAUAGGUACUCAUUCAUUUCGAUCUAGAAUGUAUUGAAAAAACAAAUUAAUGAAUUCCAUGUAUAAUAUAUCAAGUAAUAAAGAAAAACAAAUUUUGUCACUGUGUAGACAAUUUUCAUUUAACGUAAUUACUCAUUUCAUCAUCGACCUUAUCAUUCAAUACUGUUGACAUUACACGAAAGUUUUCAUACAUGACGGAUUUUAAUGAAAGAAAGAAAUAUGAUGGGGAAACAAAUGUUCGAAUCUAAAGCUGAAAUAAUACUUUUCCUAUUGAGUUCUGACAAGUAUUGUUGUUUUAAAAAUUAUAAGGCUAGGUAUCCCACAUUUCCAGUCAAAUCAUUUCCUAUUCCGAUAUGUCGCUAGUCGAGUUGAUAUCCAUUUUUUUAUUAUUACUGAAUGCACAUUUUGCAUUGAGUAGUUCGGAUAAAUUAUCAGAUGCUCUGAAAAACAAUUCGAUGACCGAGAAUCCAAACAAUAAUUCAUCAAUGGAUGCUGAUAAUAUUUUACGAAAAGAGGCCAGAAAAUUAUUGAAUGAAUGUGGAGUGGAGAUAACCAGUGAUGAGAACAGUUACUCCGAUAGAAAGGAAAACAGUCGCACAAAAAAAUCAAAGAACCAAAACGCUAACAAACACAGUAACUUCCAAAAUAAUUCUGAAUCUGAUGAAUCUAAUGAGUCGAGAGAACAAAACUAUCAUAAUGGCCAUAUAAACAGAAGAAAGCAAAACUUCAAUGGAAAAUACAAAAAAAAUGAUAACAGAAAUAACCACAAUAAUAAUAAUAAACAAAAUAAUCGUAAUUCCAACAAUGAAGACAAUAACGACGAUGAGAAUGAUAGUAAUGAUAAUGAUGGAUCAGAAGAAGAUUAUGAUUCAAGUGACAAGAAAUAUAACAGGGAAUAUGACAAUCAUAACAAUAGAAGGAAUAACCACAGAGGAAAUAAUAACGAAGAUGGAAAUGAUAACAAUAACGACAACAAUAAUAAUAAAAGAAAAAACGAAAACAGUAGUAACCGAAAUCGUUUUUUUGGUAGUAGCUCCAACUACAACUAUAAUGAUAAUAACAAAAACGAUUACAAUUCUAAUGGAGGUUAUGGAAACUAUCACUCAAGUGGAUACGAUAGCAAUAGAAAUCAAGGCAGCUAUGGCAGCAAUGAUGGUAACGACCCUAAUUGCAACACUUAUAACAGAAAUAAUAACUAUGGUAGCUAUGAUUAUAAUAGUAGAGGUAAUGGUUAUGACACGAGAGGUUUUGGAGGAUAUGCAAGAAGCCUCUCAUCAUACUUCCAUAAUAAUUUCAAAAACAAUGACGAUAUUGGAAUUUUAAGAUAUAAAAGAUCAGGCACCAAUGAGGAACAGUGCAUUAGUCAAUGUGUAUUUGGUUAUCUACAAAUGGUGAGUUGUUUAGCUUUAUGAAAGCAAAUAAGUUAACUUUUCAAACAUUUUCGAAAUAAGAGUGAGAAAGAUAUCCACUCUUGAAACUUUAACAACUAAACUGAACUUGACGACGAUAGGUUUCCAUCUGAAACAUUAGUCAUCAAAUGGCUCCAAGAACGCCUACAAAAUGAUAUGAAAAGGAUUAAAACUUUGAGAGAAGCUAGGAAAUGUUUCGGCAAACUUUCAUUUAUGG